GGCGACGUAGCUCAGUUGGCUAGAGCAUCCGGUUCAUACCCGGCAGGUCGUAAGUUCGAAUCUCACCGUCGCUACCA
rnacentral:tRNA from 2 species